rnacentral:rRNA from 1 species
CUAACUAUAAACGAUGCCGACUAGGGAUCGGUGGGCGUUAAUAUAAAAUUGUUCAGGUUAAUUCAUUUUUUUAUUUUGGUUUUUUUACCAAUUUUAAAUUUUUGAAUCCUGAACAAGAAAUGACCCCAUCGGCACCUUAAUUUGAUUACUUCUCAAUGGGAAACCAAAGUUUUUGGGUUCCGGGGGGAGUAUGGUCGCAAGGCUGAAACUUAAAGGAAUUGACGGAAGGGCACCACCAGGAGUGGAGUUUGCGGCUUAAUUUGACUCAACACGGGAAAACUCACCAGGCCCAGACAUGGUUAGGAUUGACAGAUUGAGAGCUCUUUCUUGAUUCCAUGAAAGGUGGCGCAUGGCCGUUCUUAGUUGGUGGAGUGAUUUGUCUGGUUAAUUCCGUUAACGAACGAGACCUUGGCCUGCUAACUAGGGGGGGUUAUCGUUUGGUUAAGUUCAUAAGACAAGUAUUUUUUUCCUUGCAUUUCGGUGUUUUGGAAAAAGUAUUUGUGUCUGUGACUUUUCCAUAUUUUGCGAUAGCACCUAAGAUUUACAAAAUCUUUCAACCCUUUAUUGGACUUCUGGGAGGAGAAGAGGAUACUUGCGUUUUAGUCUUCACGGAUUAGGAUGAAAAGGCCUUUUCACCAAUCCUUCUGGUUGAUUGGUAGAGGAAAAAUCCUUCUUAGAGGGACUAUUUGCGUUUUUACAACUAGCAAAUGGAAGCGCGAGGCAAUAACAGGUCUGUGAUGCCCUUAGAUGUCCUGGGCUGCACGCGUACUACACUGACGAAUUCAACAAGUGAUUUAUACUUUGGUAGUAAAAAUGGAUUUUUUAGUUCUUCACGGGACUAGAGAGUUACUUGAUUAUCAAAAACCUUGGCAGAAAUGUCUGGGUAAUCUCUUUAAAGUUCGUCGUGCUAGGGAUAGAUGAUUGUAAUUAUU